rnacentral:tRNA from 1 species
AUUUAAGCUUCAUAUAUAAAGUAUCGCCACUUUUAUUAGAA